rnacentral:lncRNA from 1 species
UCAGAAGCUAACAACAGCAGGAAAUGUCAAGAUUACAUUGCAUUGUCAAUACUAGAAAAUGUUCUAGACUGCAAGGAAGACAAAGCAGUAAGUCUGUGCAGGGAACUGCUGCACUGCUCAGAACCAGAACAGUCGUAAGGAUUUAUGCGCUAGAUGAGGAACUGGAGACGAGGAUGCACAGAGAGGAGGAACGGGAGAAUGAAACAAGUGUCUACGGAAAGACGGUCGGCAGAGAACAGGCGAGGGUGCAUGGGCACCUCGGAGGGCAGCCAGAACCAAGGGGCUGAGACAAACAGGGAGGAAAGACUGAGGACUGGGAUUUGGAUGUUGUCAGCUUUGAUAAACACCUGGAUAUUAAUGAGAGACUACGGGUAUCGAGAUAUCAAGAGUAGGAAUUAAAUCAUACUCCCAAUAAGAGAACAUAUUCCCACAACAGAAAUACUCAUUCCCCUAAUUGCAAGGAAGAUUUUAAGGCAGUGAGUCUCAAACUGUAAUCUUACCACCAGCAGCUGUAAUCUGCUGCAAAAAUUCUCAGGUUCUACCCAGACCUACUAGAUCAGAAACCCUGGGGGUUAGCUAGGCAGCCUGUGUGCUAACAAGUCUCUCUGGGGACUCAGGUACACAAUGAAGUUUAAGAAAAGUGCUUUUCAGGCUGGGGAUACAGUUCAGUUGGGAGAAUGCUUGCCUAAUAUGUUCAAGGCCCUGAGUUUGGUUAUCAGCAUUACAUAAGUGUGUGUUUGUACAUGCCUGUGCCUCUUUGGGAGGUAGGAGAUAAAGGAGUUCUAAAUCACUCUCUUCUACAUAGGAAGUUGGAAACCUGACUGAUGUGCUUGAGACCACUUCAAAAACAAAAACUCUAAUGUUUAAGGAUGGAACCUUCCCCUACCCUCCCUCCCUCCCUUCCUUUCUUUCCUUAAG